UUCAAUAAUCAAAUAUAGUGAAAUAUGAUUAAUUAUAUUCUAUCUGGGAAAGAAAUAUUUUUUAAGCUCAUUUAUAAUACUUAUAAUAUGGAUAAUUUAUAUUAAUUGUGAUAAGAUAAUUUUUGUUAUUUGUAAAAACAUUGAAAAGUGGAGACUUACGAAAUUUCAAUAAACUUCUUUUUGGUUUACUGUAGUCUUCUAAGCAUUUAGAGGGCUGUCCGGUAGAAGGUUCUAUUCGAGUAAGAGGAUUUUAUUAAAAUCUUAAAUAUAAAGAGUAAUGUUAAAAAUCGAUGAAUGACUAUAUUCAGAUAGUUACAUUCGAUAAUUGUCGUCAUAAACGAUUUCUUUAAAAGGACAAUAU